AAAAACAUAAUUUUAAAUCACAAAAGCGAAAUUUAAAUAUUCUUAGAUGUAAUUUUAUGUACGCCUGAUUAAAAAAAAUGAGCAUCCCAACGGCAAUCCUAAAAAUGUAAACAAAGUUUUCAGCUGGUUUGGAACGUUCGGAGUCUUGCUGAAAUUUAAAAGCUCUAUGUAACAACCGUUUGUGAUCAAUAUAACAACGGCGCUAGCUGACGUGGAAGAAAUUAAUAGUGAAACCAGUCCGGAAACAACUAUGAAAAUGCUGAUGCAAUUGCUCUUCGUACACGGUCCACAGUAUCAUCGAAAUCGAGAGCUUGAUGAACGAAGUUUGUCACCGGUCAACUGCCGGAAUUGCAGACCUAAAAGUAUCGAUGUGAGAAACGGCAAGGAAGGAACUGACACAUUUUAUCAAGAUGCUUUAUCGAGAUGUCUAAACUAGUGGGAAAUUUGGAACCCGAAUGCCUGACCGAGGAAGAAAAGGAGAUAAUGGGCAUUUCGAAAAAUGCCAAUAGCAUCUACCGUGAAUCAGUCAACUGAAAACAAGGUAAUCCUAGAUUCUCAAACUAACCAGGCACUCGAUUGAGCCAACGCUUAGCAAUGCAGUACCUGGUAUCAAUUCCUAAACUGGAAAAAUGAAGAGUGCAGAGUUCGGUGCCAUAAAAAUAAAUUCAAUUAGCAUCAACAACCCGUUAAAGGUUCCACCGGUGCCGUAACACAUUUAAUUUGUUAUUUUAAUAAUACUCGCUGGAACUAUGACUGACGGAAAAG